AGAGUUGUUGAAUGAAGAUAAACUGCUGAAGCUAAGGCAAAGAGUUCUGUUCCAGUUUCAGUGUCAUUUGAUUAUGAUUAUUUGUAAAGGAAAGGGGUUGUGGACAAUAAUAUCUUAUUUACUCGGCAAAGAAAGUAUCGUUUUUUCAACUUGUGGUUAAUGCGCUCCGAUAGUAUUGUUUUUCAACUUGUUGUUAAUCAAAGUAAAG
rnacentral:lncRNA from 1 species